GCACCUGUGUGAGGAACGCAAGCGUGCCCCGACUGUCAAAAUCGUCAAAGUCAAAGCUGUGCCUCACUCGUGGGCUUUCGCAAUAAGAUUUUGAAGCUGGCCAGACAGCUGUGGAGUGAGGACCCCCAACACCACGCCUCUGCUAUUGGGUCACCACUACUACACUUCUCAGGCAUUGUUCUUCCCUUGGACAAUGACAAAACGCUAACUGCAAGGAGCGUGGAGAAAGGAUUGGCGCUUCAGCUCAGAGUGUAUUUCAACUACGAUGUGCAGUGCCGGCCACCAACAUUUCUUACGUUACAAUCCAUGCAAUGCUAUUUUGGACACAUCAGCACUGAAAGAGGAACAAAGCACCCCAAUGGGAAUCAAGCUUAAGUAGCAUGCCUGCUUGUGUUCUAUCACUCAUCUGCGAACUGGGGUAAAGUUGAAAGGAGUCAUUCCAAGCUGCUGUGCUGGAGAAAGUUACUGCACUGUACAUUUCAGUGAAUAUAUUGCUUUAUGAACACAUAA